UAAAAAUAGCCACAUCACAGUAUGUGGGUUCAAAAUUAAUUUGAGAAAGUAGAACACAAUAUGAAGGGGCAGAAAGCACUAACACUAAACACAUUUUCCCUAAUUUAAGCCUGCCUGGGUUUAAAGUUUAAUUAUAGACAGCUUCCAUCAUGCAAAAUGACUUUCACUUUGUACAUUUUCACUGUAAAUCACAGUACUAACAUAAUAUUUAAAGGUCAGAAUUCUUGCAAAAUUAGCUCAAAGGGAAACUUUUUUACACGUGAGAGAGGUGUAGUCUUUUUUUAAACAGAAAGAUGCAUAACUCACUAAUAGCAGAGUUAAAGAAAGCUGUGUGCAUGAGUCUCCUUAACUUUUUUUAAAUGAUGUGACUUGUACUCUUUGAAUGUCUAGCAUGCGGGAGGCAGUGGCUGAAGAGCAACUCCAUAAACAUUCUGUUAAUUGUACAAUUUGUCACAGAUUUGUCAAAGUUCUCCCAUCAGAGCAAGGUGAUAUAAAUAAAGUCAUUUGAUACAGAAGCCAGACACACUUGGACUUCAAGCUUCUCUGAAUACUGGUGUAAACAUUCCUGUGCAAGCCAUCUGAAAAGAGGCAAGGAAACAGAGUCAUGGAUCAGCUUGCAGCAGUGGCAGACUUGGCCAGCCACAGAGGGGAGUAUACACAGCACCCUGUUAAGGAGAGGUGUAGGGACUGUGAUUCCCCUGGGCUCUAAAAGCCUUCCUGGCCCUUCUGAAGGAAAAUACCCGUGGGACCUCCCAUUGGGGCACUGUAACGCUACACCAUCUUCAGUAUGGAUUUUCAUUCUGCCUCCAUGAAAUUUCUGUGAAACUUUGGAAAAGAUCUAUUAGACUAUAAGCCCAGAUCCACAAAGGGACUUGGACAUUACAAUGUUUAACUCUUGGGCAUCUAGAAAACUAUUGGCCCAGCCAUGGAAUCUAAAAAGCUAAGUUAGAUGCCUUCCCUCCCUAUUCAAUGCAUGGAGAGAAUGGUGUCUAAGAAGGGGAUCCCCAAAAGCCAGCAUGCUGGGCGAGGAGCGACCUAAGCUACAGAAUGGGGAAAUGUUGAUGAGAAGGGCACAGAUGUCAUAUGCUGUCAUGGUCCACAGGAGAUCUUCUGAACACAUACUGGGAGAGUGCUGUGUGUACGUGAACCUGUAGCAGCUGAAUGGAAGUGCUUUGUAGUUUUUGCUGAAAGG